AGAGUUUGAUCCAUGGCUCAGGAUGAACGCUGGCGGCGUGCUUAACACAUGCAAGUCGAACGAUGAUCCCAGCUUGCUGGGGGAUUAGUGGCGAACGGGUGAGUAACACGUGAGUAACCUGCCCUUAACUCUGGGAUAAGCCUGGGAAACUGGGUCUAAUACCGGAUAUGACUCCUCAUCGCAUGGUGGGGGGUGGAAAGCUUUAUUGUGGUUUUGGAUGGACUCGCGGCCUAUCAGCUUGUUGGUGAGGUAAUGGCUCACCAAGGCGACGACGGGUAGCCGGCCUGAGAGGGUGACCGGCCACACUGGGACUGAGACACGGCCCAGACUCCUACGGGAGGCAGCAGUGGGGAAUAUUGCACAAUGGGCGAAAGCCUGAUGCAGCGACGCCGCGUGAGGGAUGACGGCCUUCGGGUUGUAAACCUCUUUCAGUAGGGAAGAAGCGAAA
rnacentral:rRNA from 1 species